UACGGGGGGGGGCAAGCGUUGUUCGGAAUUACUGGGCGUAAAGGGCGCGUAGGCGGCCUGCUAAGUCGGAUGUGAAAUCCCUCGGCUCAACCGAGGAACUGCAUCCGAUACUGGCCGGGCUUGAAUCCGGGAGAGGGAUGUGGAAUUCCAGGUGUAGCGGUGAAAAUGCGUAGAUAUCUGGAGGAACACCGGAGGUGAAGACGGGUUGCUGGGGCUGA
rnacentral:rRNA from 1 species